UUUAGCCCAGAUUGCAGCGGCAUCCUUUUUUGUUGCGACCGGAGCGAAGCGCAGGUCGUAAUAAAAAGAUACAGCGGAAAGCUGGAAAUAG
rnacentral:sRNA from 1 species